GUGGCAUAUUUUUUCCGUACUUGGUGAUGAUCAUAAUCAACCAUUUAGACAAAAGUUUUUGUGUCUUUCGGAGACAGUGAGGGGAAUACUGAGAGCAUGAAACCUAAGUUAAAAGCGGGGAAGUGUUAACAUGGCCAUAUAAAUUACCGUAUGUGGUUCUGGGACUAUGCCACUUCAGACUGCUAGGGCACAUUUUAAUCACUAGGUGGCAGGAGAGCAGUUUGUGUUUGUCUGUGUGUGUGUGUGUGUGUGUGUGUGUGAAGGAAAUAUUAUCAUAUGGGAAGAGAGGUCAGGCAUUCCCUUCCCUAAUGUGCUACUUUUCUACACACAGGGAGGUUGCUGGGUUUUUAAAUACAGAAAACUACUCAAACAUGUGAUUCUUCAUUAGGAUCAUUAGAUGUUCUGCAAUGAAAUGAUACUUUCCCAGGAGAAGUCUGCCAUGUAGUUUUUGCUGAUUGUGUCAAUUGGCUUUGUGUAUGGUAUGGUGAUUGGCUUUUGUAAGUAUGUGGAAUAUGGUAAGUUGGAAUCUGCCUUAUACCAGAACAGGCUGCUG